ACGUAGGGGGCAAGCGUUGUCCGGAUUCACUGGGUGUAAAGGGUGCGUAGGUGGGUUGGUAAGUCAGUGGUGAAAUCUUCGAGCUUAACUCGGAAACUGCCAUUGAUACUAUCAGUCUUGAAUAUUGUGGAGGUUAGCGGAAUAUGUCAUGUAGCGGUGAAAUGCUUAGAUAUGACAUAGAACACCAAUUGCGAAGGCAGCUGGCUACACAUAUAUUGACACUGAGGCACGAAAGCGUGGGGAUCAAACAGGAUUAGAUACCCUGGUAGUCCACGCCCUAAACUAUGGAUACUCGACAUACGCGAUACACUGUGUGUGUCUGAGCGAAAGCAUUAAGUAUCCCACCUGGGAAGUACGAUCGCAAGAUUGAAACUCAA
rnacentral:rRNA from 1 species